UAAUGCAGAUGGUCUUAAAAGUUAAGAUACGAGUUCUUAUAUUCCGGCAAGAAGGUGAUAAUGAUGCUCUAAAUACAUUUUAUUUUGCGAAAUUUGGUAAAAAUACAAAACCUUAGCGCCUUUGCGGCUUUCUCUCUAUCGAGUCUCUCUUCCUUCUUCUCGCACUCGCCGUCCUCUUUGAAUCACCAUCACCACCACCACCACUACCGUCCUUGUUCAUCUCUCAGCCAUCUCCACCUCGUCACUACCUUCCUCUCCUCCUCUCAAGAGGUGAAGCGGCUCCAUCGGAAGAUUGAGAGUUGCGACAGAGGACGCUUCUUCUCUCUCCACCGGCGACGUCGCCGAUGAUUACUACGCCGUUCUUGGAUUGCUCCCAGAUGCGACGCCAGAGGAGAUUAAGAAAGCGUAUUAUAACUGUAUGAAGUCUUGCCAUCCUGACUUGGGUGGGAAUGACCCUGAAACCACAAACUUCUGCAUGUUCAUUAACGAUGUCUACGAGGUAAAGCUUUGACUUUUGAAUAAGUUUGGUAAGGUGUUUGUGUUUCAGUGACCCUGUCCAGAGAAUGGUUUACGAUGAGAUCCAUGGGUAUGCAGUGACUGCUACCAAUCCUUUUCUUGAUGACUCUAGCCCGAAAGAUCAUGUUUUUGUUGAUGAGUUUGCUUGUAUAGGAUGCAAGAAUUGUGCCAAUGUGGCUCCGGAUAUAUUUAAGAUUGAGGAGGAUUUUGGUAGAGCAAGGGCGUGUAACCAGCGUGGCAAUCCUGAUUUGCUUCAGCAAGCAGUUGAAACAUGGUUAGCCUCUUGUGUUCUCUAACAUGCUGCCAGUGAUGAAUAACUGCCACGAACCAGCUGAGGACAACAUUGUACGUGUAUCAAUUGUCUUGAUCUAUUGCUAUUUUGUUGUGUAUGGACUCUGGUUUCUUAGUGAUUGUAUCUCAGUUGGUUUCUUUAUACAUUUUGGUCAGAAGUGUUUCAGAUUUCUAUUGAUGGACUAACUUGUUCGAUUAAUAUUUUAUUUGGGUUUUUGACUGUGAUGGUGAGACUUCUUGUGCACACGUGUUCUGUAGCCAGAGCCUCCUUAGCUUUCCUUCCAAUAUUGGCUUGGUGCAAGUUUAUGCAAACUAAUUCACAUGUUUGACUCACAUAAAGUCUCUGUCUGUCAAUGAUUAAAUCUAGAGUUUAGGCUAAUUGAACAUGUUAAGGAUUACUUUAAGAGAACCAAAGAGAAUGGGUUCAUCGAUGUUAGGAACAGAAAAGUAAAUUCUUUUCAUCUUUUUAAUUUUGUGAUUGUUACAGCCAAAGAACAUGGAGUAUGGCAUGGGUUAACUCCUUAUCCUUUUUGUGUUGUAAAAAAGUUUGAAUAUAGAGUAACCGAAGAGAGUCAAAAGGAUCGUCUCACAACCAAUACUCAUGAAGCAUGUCUCCCAAUUCAUGAAAACUGCAGGGUGUUAACAGCUCAUGGGUCAAAUAGGAUCGUGUAUGUAAUAGAUGAUCAUGUUGAUAUCAGUACCAGUAACCCAGACACUGGGAUAUCAGCAGAAGAGUUGUCUUUAAAUCGUCUUCUAAACAGUAGAGUUUGUUUUUGAUGAAAACUGAGUUGUCUUGUUUUACUAUUUUGUAUUCUGAUUUUGUAUCAGAAUGAUGUAUUGUUGGUGUAACAAAUUUGUGUAGUUUGCUUCUAGCAGAAUUCUCUUAUAAUUUUAUGUAAAAAGACUGAUAUUGUAGUCUA